GCUCAGACUGAUCAUCAUCUCCUGGAGCUGAAGCUGCAGUCAUGAUCGUCCAUCCUCGUUCUCUCCUCCUGGGUCUGCUGGUCAUCCUCUACCUUCAGUCCUGUGCAGAGGGACAACAUGUAAAAACACCAGAGAAAUGCUGUUUCAGUUUCUAUACCAGACAAAUCCCUGCAUCUCUCAUUACUAAGUAUGAAGAAACGAAACCCAACUGUACAAGAGCUGGAGUGAUUUUUACCACCAGGAGGGGGUAUCAUGUGUGUGUGGACCCCCGCUUUAAGUGGGUGAAGAAGAUCAUGGACGAUAUCGAUCGUCAAAUUGUGGAAGGUUCAAUCUGAACUCAGCUGGGUGGUUAAAUCUUCCCUCUAUUAAUGGGAAAUCAACUCCUUUUAAUACUCCAGCUCUUUAUUACUACAGCAGUGUACUCGUCUCUGAUUGGGCGAAAGAAUUGAAUGAAUCAAAUGUAUUCAACAUCUUUAAUGACUUUUUCAGAGUACAUUGUACAUCAGAAUGAUUUCUUUCCUUUCACACUUUUAAAUAUACAGAAAACAUUAACAGAUCAUUGUAUUGACAUCUGUAAUCUGUGGCUGCACAAAUGUAAUAAGGUAUAUAUAAUGAUUUAAAUAUUUUAAACUAUACAGCAAGUUUUAUCAUUAGAUAUUUUUCAGUAUUUUAAAUAUUUUC